GGUGAUAGAAUUACAAGCACGAUAUAUUUGACUUCAAUACCACCUUAUUUAUUCACAUAAUGAGUGUUCUACAUCAGCACAAGCACCACAUCUAUAAUGCAAAAAAUCACAAAGAAACCAGAACAUUCCCCUGAGCUUCCAAAAUCACAUUCUAUACCAACAUCUAUAGCUAAUGGGUUAUCUUGACUCACAGUCUGCUAAGAACUAGAACACUCACAAUGUCAUGCAGAGAAAGAAAAGGACCCAACAUACACAUCCAUGGAACAGAAUCUUCCUAGGACCUUGAUAUCAUACUACAGGAACGAGCCAAUCGAAUCGUCAGUCUGCCUCCAUCAAUGGUUGCCUCUCGCUCAACUGCCUCCUGGUUAUACUGUUUCCUGCACCCUGGACAACGCCCAUCUUCCUCGAGAAUCUUCUUGUGACAAAAGAGGCAAAGCCUAAAUCCGCACGAACAAGGGAGAAAACUCGUGUCUGUAUAAUCCAAAUCUUCACAGCAUAUGGGACACAAAGUGGGUGUGGCUAAAGUUUUACAUCCCCAUACAGAGUCCCUCCUACAACGCCGUUCAGAAUUCAUUGGGAAACUAUGCUGCUUCGACAAAUUUGGCAAACCCGACGGACGGAAUGUAUCAUCUGGCCUCCAUGCCCGGCAACUGAGAGGAGGUCUAGGUGUCAAUCCUCUGGCAUUACACUCCUGCUUUGAUCUAUCAAUCCCUGAACCCUGCCUUUCAGAAACCUCUUGCCUAGAACUCAUAUGUGUCAUGUUCUCAUUCCUCUCAAAAUGUGAAUCCAAACUGGGAUUUUGCUGCUCCUGUUUUUCAUCAAUGGCAGCCAGCGCAUCGGCAACAGCCUCCCAAUCAUCCAAGCAAUCAUCCUCUACUUCUUCAUCUUCUUCACUCACACUCCCUGAACAACAUCCACCACUGCUACUGCUGCUACUACUGCCUCUACUGCUUCCUGUGAAAUUAGUCCCUGAAUCAUUUCCUCCCAAAACACUACUGGUGUGGCUUGUAGGUGAAUCAAAAUCACUGUAGUGGUUUAAGGAUCCUUCAUUGUCCUCUUCACCUAUUGGCUUUAUCUGCAAUUUCUUAAUCAGUCGUUCCCUCUCAUUCGCAACAUUCUUCGCUGAACCAUGAGUUCCUCCAGUGUUUUGUUCCUCCUUCAAAACUUUGUUCUUCACUUGUGAAAGCCACUGCUCACGUCGAGCAUCUAGCUUGCACUGCUUCAACUUCGCCAACCGAUUAACCCUUUUUUUCUUGGCAAAAUCUUUGGGGUUAGAGGAAGC
rnacentral:misc_RNA from 1 species